CGACUCUCGGCAACGGAUAUCUCGGCUCUCGCAUCGAUGAAGAACGUAGCGAAAUGCGAUACUUGGUGUGAAUUGCAGAAUCCCGUGAACCAUCGAGUCUUUGAACGCAAGUUGCGCCCGAAGCCUUCAGGCCGAGGGCACGUCUGCCUGGGUGUCACG
rnacentral:rRNA from 6 species